AGUAAAUUGAACCUGACCUGCUGGGGACAACCUGAACCUGAGAAAUUUCAUCCACUUUUGGUUAUCUUUCAAGUCUAAGGAGGGAUGGGUACUAUGGCUUCUCCCCAAGCACGGAAUUAAUACAACACAGGUCUCUGGCAUGGGGCUUACAUUCAUAGGAACCAAAAUAAUGGAAGGGUAAGCAUCACCUCAUAGAAUCAUCUGAAUCCUACACAGAGACUGAUUGUGACUUUCCCUUAUCCAUCUCCUCAUUUUCCUUAUAAACAGAACCCCUGCAUGGGUAGAGAUGGCAAUGAGCCCAGAAUGAAGAUGUGAUGGCUGGAGAUUCAGGCGUCAGCUGGGAAGCCAUAAAGAUGAGGCCCGUGCCCAGAGAAUACGAUGGAACCUGGGUCCAAGAGGACAUUUUAGAGCCACCAUCCUAGUAUUGCCUUGAAGGAUUGUCCUGAAUAAGUGCAUUCAUCAAGACAGCAAGCCAAGCCAUCAGGCAGAUGAAUAACAGCAAACUGCCAUCACAAGGAGAAAAAAUGAUGAAAUGGAGGGAGGUCUUUUGAGUAUCCUUAUCUGAAGUUCAGGAUGCAGGGUUGUUUGGAAAACCCUAGCUGCUUUUGUAUUCUUGGAAGGUAAAAGGAGAGAUCAGAUAACCUAUAUGCUUGGAUAUGGAGGGAGUCAUGAAGAUGGGAAAUGAGAUGUACAAAAAAGAACAGUGAGAUGAGAGAAUGAAGUGUGCUUACCACCUUUUUCAACCCAGAGGAUGGAAGAGAAUUUGGAGGUUAACAGAAAAAAGGAGUGGGAAAAGGAGAUUGUUGGGCAAAGAAUACGUAUUAAAGACUUCUCAGGUGGUUCCCAUCAGUGGCAAUGGUGGUCUCAGCAGCAUGGAUUUGAGUACUCAAGCACAUGAGGCUACUGUGGAAGUGCUUUGCUUAAACCACAGAUGAGCUUCUGAGGAGCAAAGAUCCCCAGGGAAAGCUCCUUGGCCCCUGCUGUGUUGGGCCAGCUCUGGUAGGUCAACCGACGCGGACCCCUUACGGUGUUGAUCCCUGCUAAUCGGCCUUCUGUAAAAAUGAUACUGCAAAUUCACCUGUAGC